UACAGAGGUCUCAAGCGUUGUUCGGAUUCAUUGGGCGUAAAGGGUGCGUAGGUGGCAGGGUAAGUUUGAUGUGAAAUCUCCGAGCUUAACUCGGAAACUGCAUUGAAUACUAUCCUGCUUGAGGGUUGGAGGGGGGACUGGAAUUCUCGGUGUAGCAGUGAAAUGCGUAGAUAUCGAGAGGAACACCAGUGGCGAAGGCGAGUCCCUGGACAACUCCUGACACUGAGGCACGAAAGCUAGGGGAGCAAACAGG
rnacentral:rRNA from 1 species